ensembl:snRNA U11 spliceosomal RNA
AAAAAUGGGUUCUGUUCUGAGUGUCACAUGUAGAGCAGCUUGAUUGCUCUACAUGCAAAGUCGACAUCAAGAGAUUUUGGAAGCAUAAUUUUUUGAUACUUGGGCAGCUGGUGAUAGUUGGUGCUGGCGCCCGC